rfam:Charadrius vociferus contig11001, whole genome shotgun sequence.
CGCGGUGUAGCCCCGUUUCGGACACUCUCUGCAGCCGGUCACAAGCCCCAAAGGGAAGCGGUGGCGUCCGCCAAAUAGGAGGAGAGAGAGAUCCGCCAUCCGUGC